rnacentral:rRNA from 1 species
UACGUAGGGGGCUAGCGUUGUCCAGAAUCAUUGGGCGUAAAGAGCGUGUAGGCGGUCCGGUAAGUCCGCUGUGAAAGUCGGGGGGCUCAACCCUCGAAUGCCGGUGGAUACUGUCGGGCUAGAGUGCGGAAGAGGCGAGUGGAAUUCCUGGUGUAGCGGUGAAAUGCGCAGAUAUCAGGAGGAACACCAAUUGCGAAGGCAGCUCGCUGGGACGUAACUGACGCUGAGACGCGAAAGCGUGGGGAGCGAACAGG